UGGGGAAUAUUGCACAAUGGGCGCAAGCCUGAUGCAGCCAUGCCGCGUGUAUGAAGAAGGCCUUCGGGUUGUAAAGUACUUUCAGCGUGGAGGAAGGGAGUAAAGUUAAUACCUUUGCUCAUUGACGUUACCCGCAGAAGAAGCACCGGCUAACUCCGUGCCAGCAGCCGCGGUAAUACGGAGGGUGCAAGCGUUAAUCGGAAUUACUGGGCGUAAAGCGCACGCAGGCGGUUUGUUAAGUCAGAUGUGAAAUCCCCGGGCUCAACCUGGGAACUGCAUCUGAUACUGGCAAGCUUGAGUCUCGUAGAGGGGGGUAGAAUUCCAGGUGUAGCGGUGAAAUGCGUAGAGAUCUGGAGGAAUACCGGUAGCGAAGGCGGCCCCCUGGACGAAGACUGACGCUCAGGUGCGAAAGCGUGGGGAGCAAACAGG
rnacentral:rRNA from 1 species